rnacentral:rRNA from 1 species
AUGGGGUGGCGGGGGUUGACCGGAAGGGCACGGGGACGCUGCCGCCCAAGGCCAUUCCUUUUCCUCCGGGCUCCGCGGGCAGCAGCAGCAGCCCCUCCCUCGACUGCGCCGACAUUGAGAGCCGGGGCCUUCGGAGCUGGGGAGCUCCACGGUGGGCGGCGGGGAGGCGCGGGUGAUGUGGGACGGCUCCGUGGUGGCGGAGACGAGGGAGGCGCCCAACGUGGUGGCGCAUCCGUUCGACCCCAAGCUGGUGUCCAGCCGGCCGCCGGCAAGCAAGUGAUGGCCUCUGCGACGUGUUGCUGUUGUUUCUUGGAGUUCUUGGAGUCUCUGGAGUGCGUUCUUGAGCUUUUUGGCCUUUUGGGAACUGCUGGACAAUACAACGCCACGGUCACAACAGAACGAGCUGCACGAAAAUUCACCACAGUGAGGCAUAGACCGAAACCUAGCUUGCUUCGCGGAUUCGCGGCGGCAGGGACGGCGACCGGCGUCGGGCCGUGGGCGCGUGUCGACCGGUGCUGCUGCUGCGCCGCUGGCGGGUGGCCGGUCGGGCGGUCGGCGGUCAUCCUCACAUCCUGUUGGAGGCUUGGAGCUCUCGCCUUUGACUCGAGUUAUUUGCUACUGCUCCUAAUGCUCUAG